ACGGAGGGUGCAAGCGUUAAUCGGAAUUACUGGGCGUAAAGCGCGCGUAGGCGGUUUAGUAAGUCGGAUGUGAAAGCCCAGGGCUUAACCUUGGAACUGCAUUCGAUACUGCUUGACUAGAGUAUGGUAGAGGGAAGUGGAAUUUCCGGUGUAGCGGUGAAAUGCGUAGAUAUCGGAAGGAACACCAGUGGCGAAGGCGACUUCCUGGGCCAAUACUGACGCUGAGGUGCGAAAGCGUGGGGAGCAAACAGG
rnacentral:rRNA from 1 species